UUGGUGGGGUGAUGGCCUACCAAGGCGACGACGGGUAGCCGGCCUGAGAGGGCGACCGGCCACACUGGGACUGAGACACGGCCCAGACUUCUACGGAAGGCAGCAGUGGGGAAUAUUGCGCAAUGGGCGGAAGCCUGACGCAGCGACGCCGCGUGAGGGAUGACGGCCUUCGGGUUGUAAACCUCUUUCAGCCCUGACGAAGCGAAAGUGACGGUAGGGGCAGAAGAAGCACCGGCCAACUACGUGCCAGCAGCCGCGGUAAUACGUAGGGUGCAAGCGUUGUCCGGAAUUAUUGGGCGUAAAGAGCUCGUAGGUGGCCUGUCGCGUCGGCUGUGAAAACUCGGGGCUCAACUCCGAGCUUGCAGUCGAUACGGGCAGGCUAGAGUGCGGCAGGGGAGACUGGAAUUCCUGGUGUAGCGGUGAAAUGCGCAGAUAUCAGGAGGAACACCGGUGGCGAAGGCGGGUCUCUGGGCCGAUACUGACACUGAGGAGCGAAAGCGUGGGGAGCGAACAGGAUUAGAUACCCUGGUAGUCCACGCCGUAAACGGUGGGUACUAGGUGUGGGUUUCCUUCCUUGGGAUCCGUGCCGUAGCUAACGCAUUAAGUACCCCGCCUGGGGAGUACGG
rnacentral:rRNA from 1 species